rnacentral:lncRNA from 1 species
GUCCACUUGGGCUAAAAGCCGGUGUUGGGUUGCAUCGCAGAAGCAUCUGCCUAAUAGAUAUUGCAGAGACCGAACACACAAAUGGGUUUCUCUUAGGAUAGUGUGUGCUGUAUCACUAUACACCGCUCACAGUUUCCUGCCAUUGAUCAAGCCCCACCUAUUCAGCUGAUGGGCCAGAGGAGAAACCCGAUCACCUAACAAGAGAGAAGCAGAGGAGAGAGGAAGGAGAAAAUGAGAGAACUGUGUGGACUAAUGAGAGACUCCAACCAGCACAUCCAUCUUGCGUCCUCAAAGAGACUGGAGAGUUGAAAGUGCUUGAGCUCAACACUGCUGUUUUCUCUGUGGGCUCCAGCUGCCGGUGUGAGUGACCAGCGGCAGCUCUAGAAAGGCUUGUGAGAUUGUGCAGGAAACAGAGGAAACUGAAGAAAGAGAUACAGAUGCGGACGUUCACCCACCAUCCUCCCCACCACCAGCAGGUUGGCCCUGUCCAGGGUGGAAGGCUCCGCCCCUGCCCUCUUCCUUGGCAGUCAUAGCUGAAUCUACAAACUUUUGAUUCAAGCCACAGACAGGACCUCCACCAAAGAAAUCUUGUUUUUUUUAAUCAUAUUUUGUCAAACAUUAGUCAUCAAAUAAAUGUAAUUUAACAUC